GGUUGUAAAGUCCUUUCGUGGGGGACGAAAAGGUGGGUGCUAAUACCAUCUGCUGUUGACGUGAUCCCAAGAAGAAGCACCGGCUAACUCCGUGCCAGCAGCCGCGGUAAUACGGGGGGUGCAAGCGUUAAUCGGAAUCACUGGGCGUAAAGGGUGCGUAGGUGGUACGUUAAGUCUGACGUGAAAUCCCCGGGCUCAACCUGGGAAUGGCGGUAGAAACUGGCGAACUAUAGUAUGUGAAAGGGUGGUGGAAUUCCACGUGUAGCAGUGAAAUGCGUAAAGAUCUGGAGGAACAUCAUUGGCGAAGGCGGCCCCCUGGCCCAAUACUGACGCUCAGGCACGAAAGCGUGGGGAGCAAACAGGAUUAGAUACCCUGGUAGCCACGCCCUAAACGAUGAAUACUAGAUGUUUGGUAACUAGAUACUGAGUAUCUAGCUAACGCGAUAAGUUUCCGCCUGGGAAAUC
rnacentral:rRNA from 1 species